rnacentral:rRNA from 1 species
UACGUAGGGGGCUAGCGUUGUCCGGAAUCAUUGGGCGUAAAGCGCGUGUAGGCGGUCCGGUAAGUCCGCUGUGAAAGUCGGGGGCUCAACCCUCGGAUGCCGGUGGAUACUGUCUGGCUUGAGUACGGAAGAGGCGAGUGGAAUUCCUGGUGUAGCGGUGAAAUGCGCAGAUAUCAGGAGGAACACCAAUUGCGAAGGCAGCUCGCUGGGACGUUACUGACACUGAGACGCGAAAGCGUGGGGAGCAAACAGG